rnacentral:rRNA from 1 species
AACGAACGCUGGCGGCAUGCCUAACACAUGCAAGUCGAACGAAGUCUUCGGACUUAGUGGCGCACGGGUGCGUAACGCGUGGGAAUCUGCCCUUGGGUACGGAAUAACUCAGAGAAAUUUGUGCUAAUACCGUAUAAUGUCUUCGGACCAAAGAUUUAUCGCCAAAGGAUGAGCCCGCGUAAGAUUAGCUAGUUGGUGGGGUAAAAGCCUACCAAGGCGACGAUCUUUAGCUGGUCUGAGAGGAUGAUCAGCCACACUGGGACUGAGACACGGCACAGACUCCUACGGGAGGCAGCAGUGGGGAAUAGUGGACAAUGGGCGAAAGCCUGAUCCAGCAAUGCCGCGUGAGUGAUGAAGGCCUUAGGGUUGUAAAACUCUUUUACCAGGGAUGAUAAUGACAGUACCUGGAGAAGAAGCUCCGGCUAACUCCGUGCCAGCCGCCGCAGUAACAC